rnacentral:siRNA from 1 species
AGAUGGUUGAUGAGCUAUCCUU